rnacentral:rRNA from 1 species
AACGAACGCUGGCGGCAAGCCUAACACAUGCAAGUCGAACGAGAUGCCUUCGGGUAUCUAGUGGCGCACGGGUGCGUAACGCGUGGGAAUCUGCCCUGGGGUCUGGGAUAACCGUUGGAAACGACGGCUAAUACCGGAUGAUGAUGAAAAUCCAAAGAUUUAUCGCCCUGGGAUGAGCCGGCGUCGGAUUAGCUAGUUGGUGGGGUAAAGGCCUACCAAGGCGACGAUCCGUAGCUGGUCUGAGAGGAUGAUCAGCCACACUGGGACUGAGAAACGGGCUAUACAGCUACGGCGUGCAGCAACCGGGAAUAUUGCGCAAGGGGCGAAAGGCUGACGCAGCGACUCCGCGUGGAGGAUGACGGCCUUAGGGUUGUAAACUCCUUUUGACUGGGAAGCUCUGAUAGCAAUAUCAGGGGACGGUACCAGUAGAAUAAGCAUCUGCUAACCACGUGC